UACGAAGGGGGCUAGCGUUGCUCGGAAUCACUGGGCGUAAAGCGCACGUAGGCGGAUCUUUAAGUCAGGGGUGAAAUCCUAAGGCUCAACCUUGGAACUGCCUUUGAUACUGGGGAUCUCGAGUCCGGAAGAGGUGAGUGGAACUGCGAGUGUAGAGGUGAAAUUCGUAGAUAUUCGCAAGAACACCAAUGGCGAAGGCGGCUCACUGGUCCGGUACUGACGCUGAGGUGCGAAAGCGUGGGGAGCAAACAGG
rnacentral:rRNA from 1 species